UCCCUGGUGGCUCAGAGGUUAAAGCAUCUGCCUGCAACGUGGGAGACCUGGGUUCAAUCCCUGGGUGGGGAA
rfam:TPA: Bos taurus chromosome 6, whole genome shotgun sequence.